rnacentral:rRNA from 1 species
GACGAACGCUGGCGGCGUGCUUAACACAUGCAAGUCGAACGGAAAGGCCCUGCUUUUGUGGGGUGCUCGAGUGGCGAACGGGUGAGUAACACGUGAGUAACCUGCCCUUGACUUUGGGAUAACUUCAGGAAACUGGGGCUAAUACCGGAUAGGAGCUCCUGCUGCAUGGUGGGGGUUGGAAAGUUUCGGCGGUUGGGGAUGGACUCGCGGCUUAUCAGCUUGUUGGUGGGGUAGUGGCUUACCAAGGCUUUGACGGGUAGCCGGCCUGAGAGGGUGACCGGCCACAUUGGGACUGAGAUACGGCCCAGACUCCUACGGGAGGCAGCAGUGGGGAAUAUUGCACAAUGGGCGGAAGCCUGAUGCAGCAACGCCGCGUGCGGGAUGACGGCCUUCGGGUUGUAAACCGCUUUCGCUCAUGACGAAGCUUUGUGUGACGGUAGUGGGUAAGGAAGCACCGGCUAACUACGUG